UACGGAGGGUGCAAGCGUUAACCGGAAUUAUUGGGCGUAAAGCGCACGCAGGCGGCCAAUUAAGUCUGAUUUGAAAGCCCCGGGCUUAACUUGGGAAUUGCAUCUGAAACUGGUUGGCUAGAGUCUUGUAGAGGGGGGUAGAAUUCCAUGUGUAGCGGUGAAAUGCGUAGAGAUGUGGAGGAAUACCGAAGGCGAAGGCGGCCCCUUGG
rnacentral:rRNA from 1 species